UUAUCCGGAUGUAUUGGGUGUAAAGGGAGCGUAGGCGGGUGCUUAAGUCAGUUGUGAAAGUGUGCGGCUCAACCGUAAAAUUGCAGUUGAUACUGGGCGCCUUGAGUGCAGCAUAGGUAGGCGGAAUUCGUGGUGUAGCGGUGAAAUGCUUAGAUAUCACGAAGAACUCCGAUUGCGAAGGCAGCUUACUGGACUGUAACUGACGCUGAUGCUCGAAAGUGUGGGUAUCAAACAGGAUUAGAUACCCUGGUAGUCCACACAGUAAACGAUGAAUACUCGCUGUUGGCGAUACACAGUCAGCGGCCAAGCGAAAGCAUUAAGUAUUCCACCUGGGGAGUACGCCGGCAACGGUGAAACUCAA
rnacentral:rRNA from 1 species